rnacentral:misc_RNA from 1 species
GGCGAAUUUGGGCGGUGAAUGGGGCUGAUAAGGUGGAUUUUGCCCGUUCAAUUUGGAUUUUACAGGUUCAACAAGGAGAAGAGAGCCAUAAGUGGUGGAGGUGAGAGACACAAGAUGAUGGGAAUCACCUUUUCUUGAAGGCGGGUGAUGGACAAGUGGGGUCUGAAGAGAGAGAGCUCUAGGGACGGGUGAGGAAGAAGAAGUAAAC